rnacentral:lncRNA from 1 species
AAAAAAAAAAAAAAAAAAAAAAAAAAAAAAAAAAAAAAAAAAAAAAAAAAAAAAAAACAAUAAGAGAAACGCCUGAACCGAGAAAGAAAAAGAGAGGUUCGUGGUUUCUUAGAAAGAUUGAACUACCUGUCAUGGUUCACAUCUCAUCUAACGGCCACGGGCGAACCUAUAUUCAAGUUGUUGAAAAAAAAAAGAUCGAACGGUCAGGUGAAUUAAUGAUUGCCAAGGGGCAUU